CUCCACUCUAUUUUUUACACUAAUUAUCCACGGCAAUUCAGUGGUAAUUUUUAGUUACUCAUCUCUAUCUAAUUUUGAAUAAGUUUUCCACUUAAUUCAUAGAAGCAACUUUAAAAAAUUUUUAAUUCAUGGUUUAUUGAUUUAUGUAAUGUAUUUUCAGUUUACAUAUUUCAAGUAAGUACAACCGGCAUAAAUUGAUGUGGAAACAAACACAGCUGACUAUGGUAUUGGUCAACAUAUAUCUGAAUUAGUAGGUGCUUGCCGGACUGGAGAAAAUCUGCCAACAGUGAACAUUCGGCAAGCCAUGCGCACCAGUGUGCUGGAAUGGAAAAUAUUGGUUGCUACAGAAAGUUGAUGAAUUGAUCAUAAGGCCUUCAGACUUGGACUGGAACUACAUCCCCCUGCUCUUCUGGGUCUCCAGUUUGCAGAGGAAAGAUUUCAGGACUUCUCAGCCUCCACA
rnacentral:lncRNA from 1 species